rnacentral:lncRNA from 1 species
UCAGAGUCAAGUUGAUAUUAUUAAGUUAUGUUGAAAUUCUAAGUUUGGGGUAAACACCCCAUGAGUUCCAAAAGCCCAGGUAAAUGCGAAAACAAAGAAAAAAAGAUAGAAUCAUCGAGAGAAAAAGAAAGAAAAAAAAGAAAAUAAACUCGAGGGUUCAAAGAAGCACGAGCCAACGAAGGGCACUCGGUUGGAAAACAAAAAUAGAAAAGAAAAACCGAGCGAAAAACAAAAAGAGACAAUUUUAUAGAAAAACUAACCAACGCAAUGAAAAUAAUGGUAACAUUGACUCUGAACCAAAAACCACUUGUUUCCGAUUUUUUUAAAUAUCCACACCAAAAUCCAAG